rnacentral:rRNA from 1 species
AGAGUUUGAUCCUGGCUCAGGAUGAACGCUGGCGGCGUGCUUAACACAUGCAAGUCGAACGAAGCACUUUAACCUGAUUCUUCGGAUGAAGGUUUUUGUGACUGAGUGGCGGACGGGUGAGUAACGCGUGGGUAACCUGCCUCAUACAGGGGGAUAACAGUUGGAAACGACUGCUAAUACCGCAUAAGCGCACAGGAUUGCAUGAUCCGGUGUGAAAAACUCCGGUGGUAUGAGAUGGACCCGCGUCUGAUUAGCCAGUUGGCAGGGUAACGGCCUACCAAAGCGACGAUCAGUAGCCGACCUGAGAGGGUGACCGGCCACAUUGGGACUGAGACACGGCCCAAACUCCUACGGGAGGCAGCAGUGGGGAAUAUUGCACAAUGGGGGAAACCCUGAUGCAGCGACGCCGCGUGAGCGAAGAAGUAUUUCGGUAUGUAAAGCUCUAUCAGCAGGGAAGAAAAUGACGGUACCUGACUAAGAAGCACCGGCUAAAUACGUGCCAGCAGCCGCGGUAAUACGUAUGGUGCAAGCGUUAUCCGGAUUUACUGGGUGUAAAGGGAGCGCAGGCGGUGCGGCAAGUCUGAUGUGAAAGCCCGGGGCUCAACCCCGGUACUGCAUUGGAAACUGUCGUACUAGAGUGUCGGAGGGGUAAGUGGAAUUCCUAGUGUAGCGGUGAAAUGCGUAGAUAUUAGGAGGAACACCAGUGGCGAAGGCGGCUUACUGGACGAUGACUGACGUUGAGGCUCGAAAGCGUGGGGAGCAAACAGGAUUAGAUACCCUGGUAGUCCACGCCGUAAACG